AGAGUUUGAUCAUGGCUCAGGACGAACGCUUGCGGCGUCCUAAGAAAUGCAAGUCGAACGGGCAGAGCUUUCGGGUUCUGUCAGUGGCGAACGGUCGCGUAACACGUAAGCAACCUGCCCCGAAGUGGGGGAUAACAGCCCGAAAGGGCUGCUAAUACCGCAUGUGGUCACGAGUUCGCAUGAUCUCGUGCCUAAAGCCUUGUGCGCUUCGGGAUGGGCUUGCGGCCUAUCAGUUAGUUGGUGGGGUAACGGCCUACCAAGGCUUUGACGGGUAGCUGGUCUGAGAGGAUGGUCAGCCGGAUUGGGACUGAGACACGGCCCAGACUCCUACGGGGGGCAGCAAUUAGGAAUCUUGCGCAAUGGGGGAAACCCUGACGCAGCGACGCCGCGUGCGGGAUGACGGCCUUCGGGCUGUAAACCGCUUUUGAAGGGGAAGAAAACUGACGGUACCCUUCGAAUAAGCCCCGGCUAACUACGUGCCAGCAGCCGCGGUAAUACGUAGGGGGCGAGCGUUGUCCGAAGUUACUGGGCGUAAAGCGCGCGUAGGCGGCUUUUUAAGUCUGGCGUGAAAGGUUCAGGGCUCAACCCGAACAGUGCGCUGGAGACUGGGAAGCUUGAGGACGGGAGAGGGAAGCGGAAUUCCGGGUGUAGCGGUGAAAUGCGUAGAUAUCCGGAGGAACACCGAUGGCGAAGGCAGCUUCCUGGUCCNNNNNNGACGCUGAGGUGCGAAAGCGUGGGGAGCGAACGGGAUUAGAUACCCUAGUAGUCC
rnacentral:rRNA from 1 species